rnacentral:rRNA from 1 species
AUUGAACGCUGGCGGCAGGCUUAACACAUGCAAGUCGAGCGGUAGUACAGGGGAGCUUGCUCCCUGGGUGACGAGCGGCGGACGGGUGAGUAAUGUCUGGGAAACUGCCUGAUGGAGGGGGAUAACUACUGGAAACGGUAGCUAAUACCGCAUAACGUCGCAAGACCAAAGAGGGGGACCUUCGGGCCUCUUGCCAUCAGAUGUGCCCAGAUGGGAUUAGCUAGUAGGUGGGGUAAUGGCUCACCUAGGCGACGAUCCCUAGCUGGUCUGAGAGGAUGACCAGCCACACUGGAACUGAGACACGGUCCAGACUCCUACGGGAGGCAGCAGUGGGGAAUAUUGCACAAUGGGCGCAAGCCUGAUGCAGCCAUGCCGCGUGUGUGAAGAAGGCCUUCGGGUUGUAAAGCACUUUCAGCGAGGAGGAAGGUGGUGAGCUUAAUACGUUCAUCAAUUGACGUUACUCGCAGAAGAAGCACCGGCUAACUCCGUG